rnacentral:lncRNA from 1 species
CAAUUUUGUUUUUGUUUUUUUUUGUUUUUUUUAGCCAGUUAGCCAAAAAGCCAACCCUGAAAUAAUUCCAUCCCUUGUUUGAAACCCCCUUGAGUCUAUUCUCCCUUUUUUCUUUAAAACUCAUUACAAGCCGAGAAGUGAAAAACAUUGUUAUCACCCUAUUCAAAGGGUUGAAAGAGUCUUGUUUGGAGUUGUGUGGGGUUGAAUAAUUAUGUUUGUAAUAUUUCAGAAGUUGGCAGAAGAAGAAAAUAGAAA